rnacentral:lncRNA from 1 species
UUGGCCGUGGAAGGAACUGAUGUCGUACUGCACAGUCAUUUCUGAACGGUAACUUGGUAUAAAGGAUUCUGCGAUGAGCAGGGUGGUCAAGCUUCUUGGUGCAACACUGCUUCUUGCAGCCCUGGUCGGCAAUGUUCAGGCGCAGUUCAUUGGAGGAUUCUUUCCUUGGUGGUGGUCGAGAUGGUGCAACGGAAUAUGGUGCCCCUUUGGAACUCGCUGUGUACUUGCACUGUGCCUCCAAUUCCCCUGCGUGCCUGUUAGCUACUGUGCUCCAUUUUUCUAGGGAGCAAGAGGACGGAGUGGAUAACCCGUGGCAACCAACAACGCA